rnacentral:snoRNA from 1 species
UGCUGUGAUGGUGUAAUUUGCGUCUGACUCUGUGUCCAGUGACAGUUGCCUUCUGUUAUACGCUGGCACAGACAGUUGAUGAACAAUGAGUCUGAGCA